GCCAGGUGUGGGAGUACAUGCCUGUAAUCCCAGCUAUUCAGGAGGCUGAGGCAGGAGGAUUGCAAGUUUGAGGCCAGCCUCAGCAACUUAAUGAGGCCCUAAGCAACUUAGCAAGACCCUGCUUCAA
rnacentral:sRNA from 1 species